rnacentral:rRNA from 1 species
UACGUAGGGUGCAAGCGUUAAUCGGAAUUACUGGGCGUAAAGCGUGCGCAGGCGGUUAUAUAAGACAGUUGUGAAAUCCCCGGGCUCAACCUGGGAACUGCAUUUGUGACUGCAUCGCUAGAGUACGGUAGAGGGGGAUGGAAUUCCGCGUGUAGCAGUGAAAUGCGUAGAUAUGCGGAGGAACACCGAUGGCGAAGGCAAUCCCCUGGGCCUGCACUGACGCUCAUGCACGAAAGCGUGGGGAGCAAACAGG